rnacentral:rRNA from 1 species
UACGUAGGGGGCAAGCGUUGUCCGGAAUCAUUGGGCGUAAAGCGCGUGUAGGCGGCUUGGUAAGUCUGCUCUGAAAGCCCGGGGCUCAACCCCGGGAGGCGGGUGGAUACUGUCAAGCUCGAGUCCGGAAGAGGAGUGUGGAAUUCCUGGUGUAGCGGUGGAAUGCGUAGAGAUCGGGAAGAACAUCAGUGGCGAAGGCGGUCUGCUGGGCCGUUGCUGACGCUGAGGCGCGACAGCGUGGGGAGCAAACAGG